UACGUAGGUGGCGAGCGUUGUCCGGAAUUACUGGGUGUAAAGGGAGCGUAGGCGGGAGUGCAAGUUGAAUGUUAAAUCUAUCGGCUCAACCGAUAGCCGCGUUCAAAACUGCAUUUCUUGAGUGAAGUAGAGGUUGGCGGAAUUCCUAGUGUAGCGGUGAAAUGCGUAGAUAUUAGGAGGAACACCAGUGGCGAAGGCGGCUUCCUGGUCUGUAACUGACACUGAGGCGCGAAAGCGUGGGGAGCAAACAGGAUUAGAUAUCCUGGUA
rnacentral:rRNA from 1 species